rnacentral:rRNA from 1 species
CAGCAGCCGCCGCGGGAAUACCGAGGGUGCGAGCGUUAAUCGGAUUUACUGGGCGUAAAGCGUGCGUAGGCGGCUUCUUAAGUCGGAUGUGAAAUCCCUGAGCUUAACUUAGGAAUUGCAUUCGAUACUGGGAAGCUAGAGUAUGGGAGAGGAUGGUAGAAUUCCAGGUGUAGCGGUGAAAUGCGUAGAGAUCUGGAGGAAUACCGAUGGCGAAGGCAGCCAUCUGGCCUAAUACUGACGCUGAGGUACGAAAGCAUGGGGAGCAAACAGGAUUAGAUACCCGAGUAGUCCCUGUCUCUUAUAC